UUAAUUGCUAGAGGCAUGGAAAGUGAACACUGAAAACCAAACUUUUUCGAGGAACUUUUUCAACUUUCACAAACUGUGUUCCAUUUGAGCCGUUGCAACUGACGUCCCAUGCCGACGGUAGCCAUUUCUGAAUAAACCGCUUGGUAAACGUUGACUCGAAAAGAAAAGCGAUUGCCAAAUAUGCAAAGGCAGCAGAUUUGAGUUCAAACAAAAGCCAGGAGUAACGAUAUUUUCUACAUAGGAACAAUUCAAUCUUUUUAGUUUUAACAAAUAUUUACGUAUACUAAAUCAAACAAAGAGGUCAAAACUUUGAGGAUAAUUUAAUUGAGCCUGAGCAGAAGGGUGUUUUUUUUUUUAAUUGUUCCUUAGGUCAACGUGGCCCGUAUUACUUCAUUUGUCGAUCGACAGUUAGCGAGGUGACACACAUGAAAAUGCAAUCAGUCGUUGAUUUCCACUUGGCAUAGUCUACCUUGGCUGGAAAAUCAGGAACAGAGCAACGAAAAACGGCCGUACUGCCACGACGAACUCGAGGAUUCUCGACGGUGACCUCGAAUGGCGGCAAAAUCACUUUUUUGGCGCCAAAAAGAAAAUACCUGCACGGACGCGCACAGGAGUGGAGAGGAUGCGACCAAUGAAAUUGGCUGCCAAACACCUGUAGGUGGCAGCGUGAACGUCUGGUCGGAACUGCUCCGGCCGGAAGUUGACGUUGCAGUUGACGGUGCAGACGUAGAAGAUGAUUCGACUGGAUUCCAGAUGCCGCUGCCUGCCGCGCUGCUGCCUAAACGUUCUUGAAAAUCAAGUAUUCCGUUCAUUAUACAACUCAAAUGAAAAGGGGAAUAGAAUUGUGUUAACCUUUGGAUGUGAGCCAAGUGAUUUGGGGUGUAGGUUGUCCCCAAACUGGACAUUCGAUGGUGAAUCCUCGAUCGGGAGUAAAAGUCACGUCUGAUGGCAAUUGAUUUUGGAAACGAGGACCAGCUGCUGCUGCUGUUCCCGACGACGCAAAUGUGUCCAUCAUUCCGCUGCCAGCGUGUUGAUUGGAUGAAGCAAUCACGUUGCUGCUGCUGCUGCCGCUGCUGCUGCUAUUGGCGUGCAAUCCUAUUAGGAAACAAGACUUUGGCUAAACGAACAAGUACAUGGCAAAAGGGCACGGCCAGAUGAAACCAAUUAAAAUGGAAUUUCCCGCUGCAAGUUUGACGUUGGAGCAACAGGGAAGUGAGAAAGAACGCAAAAAAACAAACAAAAAACAAUCAGGUAAUAAGAAAUAAUGAUGCUGUAGGUGAUGGAGGCUCAUAGUGAGGAAUAUGUUCGCACAAGACGCGACGAACCGAUGAAGCAGACGCUGCGAAAGAGAAAAUAAAAGGGAGACGACGAAAAUAAUUGAUUAUCGAUCGAGCCAGUGCUCGCUGUCGUCAGGGUCAAUCUAUAAAAGAUGCAACGACGCGCAGGAGCUUCAUAUAGGCGUGCUCGUUUUCUUUUUCUUUCACCAUAUAUUUAUUUUCCUCUGUUCCAACAUCCGACGUUAUUUAUUUAUUUCUUUCUUUUUUGAUAUUUUUAUUGUUUCGGGUGCUGUUGGAUGCCAAGAAAAAGGGGCCACAUCGUCAAGGGCGAUCGAGAGGAAUAAGAACGUUUCGAUAUCAGACUUUGCUCGUGAUUAUUUCGACUCGUGUGUGUCUGUCCCUUGCUGCCUCUCGAGUCUCGACUAUCCUGUCGAACAAUACCCCUAAGGAUAUACGUAGACAUGGAGGCACAGCAGAAGAGAAACGGAAUACAUUUCGAAUCAUUCGAUUGCAUAAUGGA